rnacentral:tRNA from 2 species
GCGAAAGUAGCUCAGGGGUAGAGCAUCACCUUGCCAAGGUGAGGGUCGAGGGUUCGAAUCCCUUUUUUCGCU